GUUCAGCCGUAAACUUUAAAUUACAACCCUAAUCGCCAGGGAACUACGAGCAAUGCUUAAAACUCAAAGGACUUGACGGUACCCCAUAUCCCCCUAGAGGAGCCUGUCCUAUAAUCGAUAAUCCCCGUUUAACCUCACCACUUUUAGCUUAUCAACCUGUAUACCUCCGUCGUCAGCUUACCUCGUGAGCGUAAUCUAGUGAGCUUAAUGUCUCCACAUCAAUACGUCAGGUCAAGGUGCAGUUUAUAAAGUGGGAAGAGAUGGGCUACACUUUCUAAUUUAGAAAAUACGAAAAACUACCUAUGAAAUCUAGUUGGAAGGCGGAUUUAGCAGUAAAAAGAAAACAGAGUAUUCUUUUUAAUUUGGCACUGGGGUGUGUACACACCGCCCGUCACCCUCUUCAAAGCUUAUGAAAAGUAAUUUAACUAAUUUUUGCAACUAUAGAAGAGGCAAGUCGUAACAUGGUAAGUAUACCGGAAGGUGUGCUUGGAUU
rnacentral:rRNA from 1 species